GGGAAUAUUGGACAAUGGGGGAAACCCUUAUCCAGCGACGCCGCGUGAGGGAAGAAGGUUUUCGGAUUGUAAACCUCUGUCAGUGGGGACGAUAAUGACGGUACCCACGGAGGAAGCCCCGGCUAACUACGUGCCAGCAGCCGCGGUAAUACGUAGGGGGCAAGCGUUAUCCGGAUUUACUGGGUGUAAAGGGAGCGUAGGUGGCAUGGUAAGCCAGAAGUGAAAACCCAGGGCUCAACUCUGUGGAUUGCUUUUGGAACUAUCAAGCUAGAGUGCUGGAGGGGUAAGCGGAAUUCCUAGUGUAGCGGUGAAAUGCGUAGAUAUUAGGAGGAACACCGGUGGCGAAGGCGGCUUACUGGACAGAAACUGACACUGAGGCUCGAAAGCGUGGGGAGCAAACAGG
rnacentral:rRNA from 1 species